CCAUGCAACAGCGAACUCUUCCAGAACUCUCUCUAAAAGGGGAAAAAGAUGUACAAUGAACUCUUCCAGAACCCUCUCUGUCUCCGGCAUUUUCAGUCCUCUUCUAUCGAACCAGAACGAAAGUUGAGAAUCUUCACCAACAAGAAUUCAUAGGGCUGAUGGAGAACGCUGUGCCGAUUUCCACUUCUGCUCCAUCAAACUCUGGUACUGGCAAUCGCCGUUCACAGCCACGCUACUUGUACUGUAGCUGCUUCAGGCGCUGCUGCCGCUGUUUCUGCUGCUUCUACUCCUUCCCAUGAUUCGUUAAUCAGGAUGUCUUUCAGUAUAUAAUAGUGUUGUGGGAUAUAGUCAAUCACUGAACUGAAUAAUUUUUUUGUAUAAAACAACAACAACCACCCAGUGAAAUCUCACAAAGAUGUGGGGUUUGGGGAGGGUAAAGUGUAAGGUUACUCCUACCGAUAGCUGUUUCCGAGAGACACUCAGCAAUUUGUUUUUGUAUGUAUUAUACUUUUCAUCAUUUUGUUGAAUCAAAAAUCACUUGAUUAUCUUAUACCUUUUUCUGGCUAAAGUGAAAUAGUUUUAUUGGUAGUUGUAGAAUUAGGAAACAAUUGAUGAUUCAUCUGCGCACUUCAUCUAUACUGGCUAGUUUAAUUGUUUUAUAGAAAGCUAGCUAGUGUUAUGUGAAGGAAAUUUGAGAUGAUGGAUAUAUAAUGAGUUAGUUGAAUUUGUUGCUAAUUAUGAAUUAUGAACAAUUAUGUGAACUUGGGCCUUUUUUGGUGUGGCAACAUAUUUUCCUUUGUGAAAUUCUUUUUAGUGAUUGGUUGCUGAAAUUGUUUGAAAUAAGUGUGCACAACAUUUUCCGCGUAAAUUACGUUCUUCUGGAGUUUUUUACUUUAUGUCAAACAUGGCUUUGCUCCUUUUACCUGAAAAAGAUGGAUUCUGAAAAUGAGAAUUCAGUACUGGUGACUUCUUGAAUUAUAUGGUCUCAUGCGCUUUUGGUUAAGAAAUCUCCUUGCCCAAUGAAAUUAUCCAUCAAAAGAUUUCUCUAACUGCUGGGAUGUUUGGCUGUUUGUAAAAGUAAGUAUCCCAUUGCUACGCACACACACACUCAAUACAUUUGGUAUGGUAUAAGAUUCACUGUCCUGAAUAAAUCCAAAAAUUGUUGAAUUAGACAAGUGAGCCCAUCCUUUCUGUUUCAAUAAGGAGACAAAUUGUCCCUACAUAGUUUCUUAAAUUAGGUAUCACACCAUAAUUUUGUAACUGCUUUAUAUAUGUGAAGACUUUCUUUCUUGUCUGCAUUGACGACAUGCAAGUGGAGAGCAUCAUUAAAUAGAAGCCAAAUCAAGUGUCUAAUAAUUAUAUGAAGGUUCAGAGCAGUUAUAUGUCUUCAGAAAAAAAUUGUUGAUAUAAGUAGUGUGGGUACAAGCACAGAUCAGAAGUUAUGUUGAAGAUAGAAGAUGGAUGGCGUGCAUACAUGACCUAGAAGGCAUCUAUUAGCUGCUGAGCUGAAAUGGACCAGUAAGGCUUAUUCAAUCGCUGUGGUUUGAGCCAAAGAUGUGAUUUACCAUCUAAUGAGAGCUACCAAUCUGAUGGUUUCAGAACUUCAACUUGUCAAGCUAGGAAUUUUGGCAGGAGGUACUUCUAGCCUGAUCUCAAUCUUGGCACGAACCCAAAUGAGUGAAAUUGAUAAUUCAAGAUCAAAGAGCGUACUUUAUGCAUUUGUUAUGUGUCAUUGCUUAAUCGUUCUUGGAAGGCUAUGCAACUAUCACAUUUGGUUGAAUAAUGGUUUUGUGCAUGGAUUUUGAUACUUUAAACUUCUAUUCUUUUUCCCAGGAAUCUGGUCGAAGAGUUUUCCAGAGGAGUGUGUUGAUAAGUUGCAUACUUGUGAACUAGUGCAAGUCAAUACUUGAUUUGACUGCAUGAAUCAAUACUUGAUGUGAUAGUUGCAGGAGAAGUGUAUACAAGUCCACGAGACAGCAAGAAUAUUGUCGAACUCUACUGGCAAGAUUUUUUUUCAUUCAUGCCUAAAUCAUACUAGUGUUCUCCUACGUCGAGCUGAAAGUUUGUUCAAUUCAACCUCCUCGUUUGCUUUCUUUGCACAACCUUUCUCCCUUGUUAUAUUUCACUGUUAUAUUCUUGGUGUGUAAUGGUCCUAGAACUUAAAUUUACCCAUCUUUAUUGCCUAGUCGUCUUAGGGUUCAUAAUGCGGUAUACUAUUUACAUUGUGCGGAAAUAUUAAUAUGCAAAAUGUAAAGAUAUAAAAUUUGAACCUAAUUUAACCUUAGAAGCCAGCUCAUGAGAGGAUUGCCCAUAUAAGUAGAUCAUCAGUCCGUUCUCCAAUCAAUGUGAGACUCUAAUCCACUCUUACACUUUCUUCAAGCUCAGACUCAGCUUGAGCGUGGAUUGAGAGUCUGUAUGGAGAAUCUGGCUUUAAUAUCAUGUAAAGAUUGACAUUUGAGUCUAAGUCAACCCAAAAACAAGCUCAUGAAGGGGGAUUGCCCA